UACGUAGGACCCAAGCGUUAUCCGGAGUGACUGGGCGUAAAGAGUUGCGUAGGUGGUUAGUAAAGUGAAUAGUGAAAUCUGGCGGCUCAACCGUACAGGCUAUUAUUCAAACUCACUAACUCGAGAAUGGUAGAGGUAAUUGGAAUUUCUAGUGUAGGAGUGAAAUCCGUAGAUAUUAGAAGGAACACCAAUGGCGUAGGCAGGUUACUGGACCAUUUCUGACACUGAGGAGCGAAAGCGUGGGGAGCGAACAGG
rnacentral:rRNA from 1 species